AUGCUGCUCGUGCGCCUGAAGCUGCCGCGCGCGUGGACGGCGGAGGAGGACGCUCGCCUGGCGCGCCUCGCCAGGGAGAACGGCCUACGCAGCUGGCACCGGGUGGCGCGGCAGAUGCCCGGGCGCUCCUACGCGCUCUGCCGCGACAGGUGGCGCGACCACCUGGCGCGCGACGUCUACCACCGCGCCUUCACCGCCGGCGACGACGCCGAGCUCGCCCGCCUCCACCAGCGACACGGCGGCCGAUGGAGCAGCAUCAGCCGCGCCGUCUACGGGCGCACCUCGCGCGUCAUGAAGCGCCGCUGGAGGGAGCUCCGCAAGAACGGCGCCAAGAAGACGGCCUACUGUCCGCCGGCGCUGCCCACUGAAGACUUGGAGAUGGAGCUCUCGGAGCAGCGUCACCCACUUGCCGACGCGCUUGCCGCGGGUUUGAGUUGUUGCAGCCUUGGCUGCAGCCCGAUGGAUCCCUGGGCCGGCAGCCUCGCGUUAGGUUUCGCGUGCAUGGCCGUCUGA
rnacentral:rRNA from 1 species